rnacentral:rRNA from 1 species
GACGAACGCUGGCGGCGUGCUUAACACAUGCAAGUCGAACGAUUUAGUCGUCGGUCAUCAGACGUCAGACGUCAGGGGAACGAAUGGAACUGAAGAAAGAACUCGCUUUAGCGAAAUCUAUUCCGAAACCCUUACGACCGAUGUCCGAUGACUGACGACCGAAUAGUGGCGGACGGGUGAGUAACGCGUGGGCAACCUACCCAUAAGAGGGGGAUAACAGCUGGAAACGGCUGCUAAUACCGCAUAAGCUUUUUAGGACACAUGUUUUAGAAAGUAAAGGAGGCUUUAGCUUCCGCUUAUGGAUGGGCCCGCGUCUGAUUAGCUAGUUGGUAGGGUAACGGCCUACCAAGGCAACGAUCAGUAGCCGGCCUGAGAGGGUGGACGGCCACACUGGGACUGAGACACGGCCCAGACUCCUACGGGUGGCAGCAGUAGGGAAUAUUAGUAAUGGGCGAAAGCCUGAACUAGCAACGCCGCGUGUGCGAAGAAGGCCUUCGGGUCGUAAAGCACUUUUGAGAGGAU